AUGGUGAGGAAUUUCUAUUGGAGUGAGGAGAGGGGAAAGAGGAAGGUACAUUGGAAGGGGUGGGAUCAUCUCAUGCAACCGAAAGAUAAGGGAGGUGUUGGCUUUCGGGAUUUUCGUCUUUUUAACCAAGCUCUCCUAGUUCGUCAGGCUUGGAGGCUUAUUACUAGGCCAGAUAGCCUUUGUGCCCGGUUGCUCAAAUCUAAAUACUACCCUGAUGGAAAGAUCGAAGAUACGAUGUUCAUUGGAAACGCUUCGUCCUCAUGGCAGGCUAUUAGUCACGGCAUGGAU
rnacentral:rRNA from 1 species